UCUUCCUCUUCCUCUUCUUCUUCCUCCUCCUCUUCCUCCUUCUCCGCCUCCUCCUCCUUCUUCUUCUUUUUCUUCUUCUUUUGAAAAUAAUUAGAAUUUUACUUGAUUAUUUAUGAAUUGCAACAGAAAUUCCAAUUCCUAAAACCAUCUUGCUGAUGUACUGCAGGUUUAGAUGCAUUUAAAUACUUGUCACAUUGGGAAUACCAAAAGGGUCGAUUGAUAUGAUAGCUU
rnacentral:lncRNA from 1 species